UACUAGAGUAGCACUCGCAUAUCAAUAAGCGGAGGAAAAGAAACUAACAAGGAUUCCCCUAGUAACGGCGAGUGAAGCGGGAAGAGCUCAAAUUUGAAAUCUUAAAGGGUUUCCCUUUACGAAUUGUAGUUUAAAGAAGUGUUUUCUGUUGAGGUUUUGGUAAAAGUUCUUUGGAAUAGGACAUCAUAGAGGGUGAGAAUCCCGUAUUUGACCUUUACUUUCAACUUUGUGAUACACUUUCAAAGAGUCGGAUUGUUUGGGAAUGCAGUCCAAAAUGGGUGGUAAAUUUCAUCUAAAGCUAAAUAUUGGCGAGAGACCGAUAGCGAACAAGUACCGUGAGGGAAAGAUGAAAAGAACUUUGAAAAGAGAGUUAAACAGUACGUGAAAUUGUCAAAAGGGAAGCGUUUGACACCAGUGUUGUUUUUCUGAAAAUCAAUUAAAGAACUGUUUAUGCUAAGUUGUUUAGACUUUAUCAGCUAUCUGUUUAGUUUUGAGCUUUUCUUUAAUGCACUUUUCAGUUAACAAGUCAACAUCAAUUUCUUUUGCUGUAAAAAAGCUUGAGGAAGGUGGCUUGAGAUUCGUCUUAAGUGUUUAUGGCCUCUUGCCUAUGCAGUCGGAGAGAUUGAGGUCUGCAGCGUAGAUCCUUCGGGGCUAAAUGCAUUUGUGCUAAGUUAUAGCAUUUUAUAGACAACUUGUUGACUAUGAUUUGUCUUGUAGCUUACUCGCUUAUGUUAUUUUACCUACGCUUAGGAUGUUGAGCGCAUGUCUCUCUCU
rnacentral:rRNA from 1 species